rnacentral:rRNA from 1 species
AAUUACUGGGCGUAAAGCGCUAUGCAGGUGGUUUGUUUAAGUCAGAUGUGAAAGCCCGGGGCUCAACCUCGGAAUUGCAUUUGAAACUGGCAAACUAGAGUACUGUAGAGGGGGUAGAAUUUCAGGUGUAGCGGUGAAAUGCGUAGAGAUCUGAAGGAAUACCGGUGGCGAAGGCGGCCCCCUGGACAGAUACUGACACUCAGAUUCGCGAAAGCGUGGGGAGCAAACCAGGAUUAGAUACCCUGGUAG